UCGACACUGUCUGCAUCUGGGUCAUACCUGAAACGUGAUACUAUUAUAUCUGAAAUUAUUAUGAUUUCAAUCAAUAUCAUCUCAAAGAGCAUACAAUGUUUCAAUUUGUCACUUUUUACUUAAAGGUCAGUACCCUGUCUAGCCUGCCAGGGCGAAGACUGUGGCGCCGGUGUUGAAGCCUAUCAAAGUUGUUUCACCAUGGCACAUGAUCGGGGUGGACCUCAUCGGACCAUUCACUAAAUCCAGGAAGGGCAACAGCUGGUGUCUGCCGGCGACCGAUCACUUUACCAAGUGGGUGGAGGCAAAACCGAUUAAGGACAAGACUGGUGAGUACACCAUCGCCUUGGAGGUGGCUAUCUUCAACACCCACGGUUCUCCUGAGGACAUCUUGAGUGAACGAGGUCAUGAAAGCUAGAACAAGGUUUGGUUAAUGGACCAACCAGACUGCCAUGGGCAAGUCCUUUGAUUGGUACCAGGAAGGGUGGGAGAACAACCUGAAGGUAAUUCUCUUUGUACACAACAGCAGAAGGUCUUCACCGAGUACGGACAGGAGCCGAAGCUGUUGACUGAGAUCUGUCACGAUCUUUGAAAUGAGCGGACCAAGAUGCAGCGUGGUAUGUUUCCAUCCUUUAUUUUGGAAUAGAAAACUUAACUUUUCCUAACAGUGAUAUAUUUUAUGACGCCCUAAACUUCAGUGAAGCCCAAUAGAUAAAGUUAGUUAAGCUUUGGUUGACAUUUGAGAAGGCAAGAAAUUAUAGUUAUGCUGAGCUUAUAAAAAUGUACCUCUUCAAUUUACCUCUCCAAAUAACUUAAGGACCAUCUGAUUCUCUGGUCUUCUUGGUCGGAUGCGGACAAGCUUGAG